AUUUGAACUUGAACUUUGAAACCCCUUUCUGUGUUUUGUCCUACCCAAGCAUUCUGGUUCAACAGGAACUAAAAUUGAGGAAGCAAGAUUUUCUUCUCGACAUGAGCAGGGUCCACCAAACGUGCAGAGUCCUGCAGCAUGGUCUGCUAUGGCUCGACUCAAUGUGUGGAACCAGUCCUCCCUCUCUCCAACUGAACUGAAGAGUGAAACAGACAAAUGAUCACUCCUGAUACUUCUGAAAGGAUUUUGGAUCAUCUAGGCAUCCAGAAAAUUGAGCUAAACUAAGCAAGUCAAAGGAGAAGACAAAAGAGAUGACAUCAUUGGUCACACCUAAUGUGUGCUCUAAACAUCCGCUGGGGCCGUAAAGGCAGCAUCCAGGAAUUCUCCACCCUGCUCCAGGGCUCCAGGCCUCCCCUCGCCCUUCCAGUCUUCUCAGGCUACACUGAGAACCAGGACUGGGUGGAACCGGCCACCUUCACCACAACAACAACAACAGAGUCGCAGUUACGGGUUCACUGGCUGGAGACAAAACAGUGCAUGAUAGCCAAGCCCGAGCCCCGCCUGCGACCUCUGGGCUGCAGCCACCGCAGUUCGUCUGCUCCACCCUGCACUGCUCAAAGAUUCCUUCCACAGAAACCCAAGCAAGUUUCAAGUCAGGAGACUUCACUAACGACUUUCCCAGAUGAGUCACAACAUGCACCUACUUAACCCCUUGGCACCUAAGAUAUUUACUUUCUCAACAGUGCCAUUUCAUCUCCUCCACUAACCCCUCACCUCCGUCACCUGCCUCUUUCACUCAUACUCUCUUCCCUCAGGCAGCUUUCUGUAUCUCCAUCCUCCUUCUAAUCCUUUACAUCACUCAUUCACCCUGCUUCUCUUUAUUCUUUUAGCCCAGGCUUGUGACAUGGUUGCAGCUUCUCUGAGUGAUGGCUUUCAUCUUCACUGUUGUUUGGAUUCUCCUUCCUUAAAAGCCCAUAAAUAACACCUGACCCACUGAAGCCAUCCACUUCAAGAGAGAAAACGGCCAUAUAACCCUAAUGGCCUGAAAGUAUCAACCACCAAACCUUUUCAGCAAUCGCUCAACUGCAGUCCUGGGACUGAGAAACUGAUGGAAUAAAGCUAAAUGAGGAUAAAAGAUAAAUAAAUCCACAUCUUUAUGUUAUUUUCUGUUUGGAUCAACUCAUAUCAGCCAAAAUCAUAAAUGCUGCUCCUGCGGAUAUGUAGCCCAAGCAUAAUUCACAACAUGAGACAGCACUGAUUGCACAUGGAACAAUAGAGUGGGCUUCACUAUUUCACGUUAUGUGUUUGUGUAGCACCACCACCACCCUGCCUCCUCCACCACGUCCUCCUCCCUGCAUUCUACAGGGUGUCUGGCCUUCACUUUGCUGUCAGUCCCCUCCCAAUACACAGGAAGCCAGCAUCCAGUGACCCACACCAAACAUCCUGUAAGGAAGUGGGGCCCUGGAAAACAAGUCCUGAGAGGGGAGAAGAGGAGAAGAGCAGAGAAGGAGGCCCUUUUUUGAUGGGUGUGGUGCCAAGUGGAGGUCCUUACAGCCUUGCCCUCAUGCACCCCCACCUCCCCUCCUAACAUCACCCACCUUGCAGGCUGACCUCCGCCCAACAUUCCCCCAUAUUUUCGUAGACCACACUGUUGUUGUUCUCGCCACAGUUUUAAUAAUAAUAAAUUAUUAUUAUUAUUAUUUAAAAUAAUAAUUUCAGAUCUUUACAAAACAUGGUGUGCACAAAUAUUGUUGAAACUAACCAAAGGUUUACCAAAUAUUCAAGGUAGAAUUUUGGGGAAUGGGUUAAACUGAACCUGGAUUUUAACAACGUAAAAAAGACAAUUUGACUGAUAUAAUACUUCCGAUUUCCUGCAGAUUUCCUGUUAGAUGAGAAGAUUGAUACUACUCUCAUGAUUGUAUGCUAAAUAUGAAGAUAAAGCCAGCAGAGAGUGGUGCAAACAGUGGUAAACAGCUAGCCUGGCUUUAUCUAAAGGUAAUAAAAUACACCUACCAACACCUCUGAAGCUCACUAAUUAACACGUUACAUCUUGGUUGAUUGAUCCGUACAAAAACCAUCGAAUGAGGUUGCCAGAAAACUACAGACUCAAGGAAGUCACUAAAUGGGCUGGCACAUAACCCCCCCUUGUAAAACCACCAAUUGUCUUUUUCUUUUUUACAUAAAUGAAAUAUAAGGUGUUAAUUAGAGGUGCUGGUGGGUGGAUUCAAGAUGUGGUUCCAAGACAAAUCACCCACCAGUGUGGCAUAUCAAGAUACUGAUUAAACAGCAUAACUAUGACACAUGUGUGUCUGGUCAGCCGCCCUAAUCUGCCUCUGAUUGGCUAGUACUCAUUGCCUUCGUUGGAAUAUCAGGACAAAAACAAACAUUUAUAUUUUUGUUCAGAUAUUUCUUUGAAACCGCAGAUGGAAACAAAAUGAGAAAACAGUGUUUAAAAGCUUAGACCCUAGUUUCACAGUCUGAUAAUAAUGUCUGAAAUUUAUCUGGGAUGAAGGUAG